CACUCUCGGUAACCGCGAGUGGCUCCCCGCGACCGGUUCCAUGGCUCGCGCCGACGACAUGUACGUCCGAGGCCUCACGCGCUUGAUGCCGCUGUGGCCCCGCGGCGUCACCGUGCAGCUCAUCGUCACCUACGUCGGCGGCAGCGGCAACGUCCGCUUCAAGUACCACGUCUGGUGGAAGACGUUCAAACACACCGACGACGGCGACGGUAACUCCCAGGAUGACCUCUGCCCGACCGCCACGAUUGACGCACUGACGGAGUGCGGCAUCACCAUGCCUGUCGACUCGUGGUACCAGCUCAAGGACACGGAGCUGCAGAAGGAAUUCGGCGUCUACGUCAAGUUCAACAAGUGCGCGGUGGGCAAGGGCGGCU
rnacentral:lncRNA from 1 species